UCUCUAUCUUUGACAGUAAGGACGGACUCACCAAUUUACCCACACGGACAAUUCCGGCGAUCAGAAAAUUUUAAAUACUCACAAAACACCGCAUAAAAACAACUAAGAAAGUUUUCCUCGAUUCAAAGUUAAACGUAACAUUUUAUUCUUAUAAACUAUGACAUUUAAAUACGAAAAAAACUGCUCUGUUUAUUUCGGCUGCUUCCCCAUCUUCCCUCACUCAAUGGACUCUUCCAUUUUACUGCGCAAGUGCAGACUGGGUUUAGAGGCGCGAAGUUUCUACAGUGAACCCCAGAACAGGAGGAAAAUAAUGUAAUGUAAUGUAAUAAUGUAAAAUAAAAAAAGUGUUGUUUGUCACUUUCACGUUGACACCGUACCCCACCCCCUCCCAAAAUACGAACGCAGCAACGUAGCAGUGUAUGCUAACUGCUGUCAACGUCAACCCGAGAUGGACCUGUUAUUACACUGUACAUGACGAGGAUUCGGGUGGUUUGACACGGAGUCCACUGGAGGGCAGUAUAACACCAGUAGAAACGAGGAGGAGCGACAACAAGAACUCCGCCUAGAUGUCCUCACCUUCAGUGCCCCCCCCAGAGGGGUGAGGUGGAUGGAGUCACCUCCACCUACACAUCCCACCACCUGCCCUGGCCUGGCCUGCCUCUCCUCCAGCCAAGGAGGCUCAUGCCCGGACACCCCGGUUAGCCACCCCACCCCACCCCAACCCUUCACAUCCAGGUCCGGGGCCAGGAGACGCGGGGCCAACAGCUGGCGGUGUGCAGAAGGAGCCUGGAGGCUUCCACAGCAGAUGAAUCACCGCAGAUUAAUAUUUAACUCCAGACUCCUGCUUCCCUCCAGCAUCUCUGCUUCCUCCUCCUGCUUCACACCAUCUCCCCCCCUCUCUCUCUCCAUCCAUCACUGCAUCCUCCAGCCCUGCAGGUAAGUUGGCACAUGUUCAAGAGACCUAUACUGUAAAUACGAGGUGGAGCCGCUCCAACAAGGCGUCCUGGUUGGGGCGUGCACCGCAGUGUUCGGUAACUUGUUGCAGUAGAAGGUGAAGAAAUGUUCUCAACGUGUACUCGACGUGUACUUGACAUGUACUACUUGCAAACCCCCCCCCGCCCUUACAGCUGCCCCUAACCACCGACACACAGGUUGUUCUGGUGUCCGUCACAGGCCAGUCAUGAUGAUGUUGUUGUUUAUCCAAUCAGAGUUCAGUAAUGUGCAGCUACUGGGAUGUGUUUGCAGUAAC